UGGGGAAUAUUGCACAAUGGGCGAAAGCCUGAUGCAGCAACGCCGCGUGAGUGAUGAAGGCCUUCGGGUUGUAAAGCUCUGUCUUUUGGGACGAUAAUGACGGUACCAAAGGAGGAAGCCACGGCUAACUACGUGCCAGCAGCCGCGGUAAUACGUAGGUGGCAAGCGUUGUCCGGAUUUACUGGGCGUAAAGGAUGCGUAGGCGGAUUUUUAAGUGAGAUGUGAAAACCCUAAGCUUAACUUGGGGACUGCAUUUCAUACUGGAAAUCUAGAGUGCGGGAGAGGAGAAUGGAAUUCCUAGUGUAGCGGUGAAAUGCGUAGAGAUUAGGAAGAACACCAGUGGCGAAGGCGAUUCUCUGGACCGUAACUGACGCUGAGGCAUGAAAGCGUGGGUAGCAAACAGGAUUAGAUACCCUGGUAGUCCACGCCGUAAACGAUGAGUACUAGGUGUAGGAGGUAUCGACCCCUUCUGUGCCGCAGUUAACACAAUAAGUACUCCGCCUGGGAAGUACGAUCGCAAGAUUAAAACUCAAAGGAAUUGACGGGGUCAUAGC
rnacentral:rRNA from 1 species